UUCUAAAGAGAAAAGAGCUUAAAGUCCAAAAUGCAUUACAUAAGCUAUUUUACUCUAAUCUCAUUUUCUUCACUAAUUGGGAUUAAGGAGGGAUUAAGAAAUCCAUAUAUAUUGUUAAUCUAACAGAAUUUUAAACACUAAUCAUUGUUCACAAAAUCAUAACAGAAAAUCUGAACAGAAAUUCUCUCAUUCUCCCAUUUUUGCUCAAAAACUUUCAUAUCACUUUUUGAUCAAUUCACAAAUUGCCACUGAUUUAGUGUUAAUUCUUGGCAAAUCCAUCAUCCAUAUGCAUUGUCGAAUUGCUGUUUGCAGGUUUUGAGCGAAAUUCGAGCAAGAAAUCGCAGCUGCUACAAGGUGGCAUUUCCAUGGCAGUCAACGAAUCUUCUUGUUCCGUGCAUCCCUGAGCUGCAAGAACAUCAUCAUUCGUCUCCUGGAUCAUCAUACUCUACCUGUUUGAACGAAACGAAGCUCGAAACCUCACCGAGUCGCUACUGCACUCCAAGAAGAGGUUGGAUUCCGAUCUCGUAAUCGCUUAAAUUGUGUUAGGGAUUUGGUAGAAUGCUGUUUGUAGAUUAUGUAUCAACCGGUAGAUUGUGAUUUCGCUGUAAGUUGAACGAGUUAUUGCCGUUUAAACUUUGAUACGCUAAACUGUUUUGGCUCGAUCCUUGAAAUAUGUUUAGAAUUAAGUUGUUUACUUGCUAGAUUCAUGUUCUGCGUUGCUAGACGGUUACAACGGUAUAUUAUUUGCUUGAUUUGGUUGAGAAACGGCCAUAACCGAAGCCGGUGUUAUCGAACCCGUAGAAUGCAUGCGAAGAAGAUGCAGCUUUUCUGGAAAUUUCUGCCGUGUAGAUCUGCUUCCAUCCGUUUUCAUUUCUUUUUAGUGUUUUUGGAUCGCCAGGACCAAUCCGGUAGUGCCACAUCACUUUAGCCAUGCGCUGCGUUUCGGACUGUGGCUUAAGAAUUGCAGCAUCGCCAUUUAGCUUCUAAUUAAUUAAUGAAAUCAUCUUAAAAUCCU
rnacentral:lncRNA from 1 species